rnacentral:rRNA from 1 species
GAAUAUGGGACAAUGGGCGAAAGCCUGAUCCAGCCAUGCCGCGUGUGUGAAGAAGGUCUUCGGAUUGUAAAGCACUUUAAGUUGGGAGGAAGGGCAGUACGCGAAUCCCUUGCUGUUUUGACGUUAACGACAGAAGACGCACCGGCUAACACUGUGCCAGCAGCCUCGGUAAUACAGAGGGUGCAAGCGUUAAUCGGAAUUACUGGGCGUAAAGCGCGCGUAGGUGGUUCGUUAAGUUGGAUGUGAAAUCCCCGGGCUCAACCUGGGAACUGCAUCCAAAACUGGCGAGCUAGAGUAGGGCAGAGGGUGGUGGAAUUUCCUGUGUAGCGGUGAAAUGCAUAGAUAUAGGAAGGAACACCAGUGGCGAAGGCGACCCCCUGGGCUCAUACUGACACUGAGGUGCGAAAGCGUGGGGAGCAAACAG